rnacentral:rRNA from 1 species
CAAUAGCGUAUAUUAAAGUUGUUGCAGUUAAAAAGCUCGUAGUUGGAUCUCAGGAGGACUUCAGUUGGUCGGCCUAACUGGUCAGAACCGUCUGUCUCUUCCUUGUUUCUGAAUCCCGCCCGGAGUUCAUUCUUCGGGUGUGGACUUCAGAUCGUUUACCUUGAAAAAUUAGAGUGUUCAAAGCGGGCGUUUGCUUGAAUAUAUUAGCAUGGAAUAAUGGAAUAGGACCCUGGUCCUAUUUUGUUGGUUUUGUAGGACUAGAGUAAUGAUUAAUAGGGAUAGUUGGGGGCGAUUCAUAUUUAAUUUAGUUCAGAGGUGAAAUUACUUUGGUAUUUAUUGAAAGAAUGAACUUCUUGCGAAAGACAUUUGUCCAAGGAUGUUUUCUAUUAAUUCAAGAACGAAAGUUAAGGGGAGUCGAAGAUGAUCAGAUACCAU